rnacentral:rRNA from 1 species
GCCAGCGGCCAUACUGCGUCGAAUACACCGGAUCCCAUCCGAACUCCGA